rnacentral:rRNA from 1 species
AUUGAACGCUGGCGGCAGGCCUAACACAUGCAAGUCGAGCGAGCGGCGGACGGUUGAGUAAUGUAUGGGGACUGCCCGAUAGAGGGGGAUAAAUACUGGAAACGGUAGCUAAUACCGCAUACUAUCGGAUAACCCAUAUGGGAUUAGAUAGUAGGUGAGGUAAUGGCUCACCUAGGCGACGAUCCAUAGCUGGGCUGAGAGGAUGAUCAGCCACACUGGGACUGAGACACGGCCCAGACUCCUACGGAGGCAGCAGUGGUGAAUAGUGCACAAUGGGCGAAAGCCUGAUGCAGCAAGGCCGCGUGUAUGAAGAAGGCCCUAGGGUUGUAAAGUACUUUUAUUAGGGAGGCGUUACCGACAGAAGAAGCACCGGCUAACUCCGUGCCAGCCGCCGCGGUAAUAC